AUGCUUACACUGGCAGCACAUAUAUUAAAAUUGAAGCAAUACAGAGAAGCCUAGCAUUGCCCACAUGCAAGGAUGAUACGAAUUUGUGAAACCUAUCUUUAAUCAUUUUU